rnacentral:rRNA from 1 species
UCCUACGGGAGGCAGCAGUGGGGAAUAUUGGACAAUGGGCGCAAGCCUGAUCCAGCCAUGCCGCGUGAGUGAUGAAGGCCCUAGGGUUGUAAAGCUCUUUUGUGCGGGAAGAUAAUGACGGUACCGCAAGAAUAAGCCCCGGCUAACUUCGUGCUAGCAGCCGCGGUAAUACGAAGGGGGCUAGCGUUGCUCGGAAUCACUGGGCGUAAAGGGUGCGUAGGCGGGUCUUUAAGUCAGGGGUGAAAUCCUGGAGCUCAACUCCAGAACUGCCUUUGAUACUGAAGAUCUUGAGUUCGGGAGAGGUGAGUGGAACUGCGAGUGUAGAGGUGAAAUUCGUAGAUAUUCGCAAGAACACCAGUGGCGAAGGCGGCUCACUGGCCCGAUACUGACGCUGAGGCACGAAAGCGUGGGGAGCAAACAGGAUUAGAUACCCUGGUAGUCCAUGCCGUAAACGUUGGGCACUAGGUGUGGGGCUCAUUCCACGAGUUCCGUGCCGCAGCAAACGCAUUAAGUGCCCCGCCUGGGGAGUACGGCCGCAAGGCUAAAACUCAAAGAAAUUGACGGGGGCCCGCACAAGCGGCGGAGCAUGCGGAUUAAUUCGAUGCAACGCGAAGAACCUUACCAAGGCUUGACAUACACCGGAAACUUCCAGAGAUGGUUGCCCCGCAAGGUCGGUGUACAGGUGGUGCAUGGUUGUCGUCAGCUCGUGUCGUGAGAUGUUGGGUUAAGUCCCGCAACGAGCGCAACCCUCGUCCCAUGUUGCCAGCGGGUUAUGCC